rnacentral:rRNA from 1 species
UACGAAGGGGGCUAGCGUUGUUCGGAAUCACUGGGCGUAAAGGGCGCGUAGGCGGCUUGAUCAGUCGGGGGUGAAAGCCUGUGGCUCAACCACAGAAUUGCCUUCGAUACUGUCUGGCUUGAGACCGGAAGAGGUAAGUGGAACUGCGAGUGUAGAGGUGAAAUUCGUAGAUAUUCGCAAGAACACCAGUGGCGAAGGCGGCUUACUGGUCCGGUUCUGACGCUGAGGCGCGAAAGCGUGGGGGAGCAAACAGG